UUUUUUUUUUUUUUUUGGACAUGUGUAUUUUAAACCUUGAUUUUAACUGCUAAAUUGUCUGCUAGAAAAGUUGCACCAAUUUAUAGUUUUGUUAACAGUGAUGGGGUGAAUUUCCUACUCAAGUCUCUUUUAAAAAAUUUCGGUUAGUGUGUUUAUUUUUUCUUUUUAAACUUUUAUGAUUCACACCCUUCCUCAAAAGGUUUUGACACAUCUUAUUUUUAUGAAAGAUUUGAAAAAAUAAGAAUAGACCAAAGUAACAUAAAGAAAGCAAAGUACAAAGCAAGAAAAACACACACACAGCAUACAUUACAUGGUUACCAUAAGCUCAGACCCAUCCAUUUAGAUCUGACCUUCCCGAAGGACAAAGAGGAAACGAAAAAGCUCUGAAACUUUCCCUUGGACGAGAGGGCUCGCUGUCUCUUCCAAAAAAGACAAAAUUAUUUGGUUAAUAUUUAAAGGAACUUAUGAGAAAUUGUAGAAAGGUUUGGGAAAGCAUUGCUGAAAAUAUCUUCAGACAAGACUAUUAGACCCCUGGUAGUUAUUACAGUCAAAUAAUUCUAUAGUUUGAUACAUGAAGACAAUUACCGAGAGUCCAUUGCGCCCUGGCCUUGGGGAUUUUAGAGACUACUUGAAUAUAACAAGCAAUAUAAGUAAAGUGUACUGGUAAAAAUAAAACCACCAACUUCUAAUUUUCUCAUCUACAGAGAGUAAUAAGAAAAAAUCAAACGGUAAUAAUUUAUUAUAAUAAUUUCAUUAAUGAAAACAUUUUUUUCACUCCACCCCCAUAAAAACCCACUAGAAAAGCACGAUAUUGGCAUAAAAGAUAGUAGUAUCCCAAACCAGCAGUUAUAAUUACACACACAUAUAAAUGGCCUUGUCCCUAGGAUUUUCAUUGAACUAUGAAGUCAUAAAAUCUUUUUCGUUGAGGGGCACCAAUUUACAGACUGGUGUCUGGGAGACUGAGGCCGAGGAACCCUGACUGCAUUGCCCAAGAGUCCCAGCUAAAAAAGAGCAAAGCUGGACGAGAAUUCUAGAUCCCUAAUUUCUGUCCCCAAAGCAAGAAAGAAUCUUCAGACUGGAAGGGAAGAAGCAGAGAAUGAAAAAUAUGAAUUUUGAGGCAUGAGAGCUGGAGAGAUAAGACAAGAUUGGCUUCCAUGCCAACAGAUUCAAUAUUUGGCCUUAGAGAGACUUGGGUGUGGGGAGAGCUGGCGGAUACAGGGGACAGUCACGGCAGAAACACUUGGGAGCCCAAGGAGCUACCAGGAGCCUGGAUGUAGAAACUGGAGUUCAAGGGUACUCAUAUGGCCCAGGAAGCCCUGGGGGUCGGCUCUGUGCUCAGCGCUGGCUCCUGAGCCCCUGUUCCAGGAUGCCACGGCAUCUUCAGGAGGCUGGUGCUUAGCUGUGUGAUGGCUGCAGAAGCCCUAGAGAGAGGCCCUCCUGUGUGCCCUUCUCCGCAGUGUCUCAGCGUCAGAGACUCCCCAUGUUCUCACAUCCCACAGGUGGUCACGCCGUCCUCGAGGGAGGGGCUGCCCACCCUGGGGUGGUGAUCACCCUCCCUCCAGUCUGGGUGCAGCUGCCUCUGAACCUGCAUUUCCCUCUUCUCUAGAAUCUCACCCCUUAAAACACAAAUCCAUCCUGUAGUUCCCAUCAUAGUGCAGCGGAGAUGAAUCUGACUAGCAUCCAUGAGGGCGCAGGUUCGAUCCCUGGCCUCGAUCAGUGGGUUAAAGGAUCCAGCGUUGCCGUGAGCUGUGGUGUAGGACAUAGACGUGGCUUGGAUGUGGUGAUGCUCUGGCCGUGGUGUAGGCUGGUGGCUACAGUUGCAGUUUGACCCCUAGCCUGGGAACCUCUGUAUGCAGUGGGCGUGGCCCUAAAAAAAAAAAAAAUCCAUCCUACCACCUGCAGCAUAAGUGUAUCCCACCCUACUUGCACCUGGUGGUGGGGGGGAACCUGUCAAACCACUGCCCCCAUUAGACAACAAUCCCCUAUCUUCCCUUGUCCCCCCAGCCUCCUUUGACUUCUUAAUGGAGAGUCAGGGAACCCCAGUCCUGGGAGACAAGGCAGUGGUCAGUCGCUUCUGGGAAGGGCAAUACUGCUCCCAUCCUUUGACCAUGAACCUGAGUCCCCAGGGUUAACUGCUUAGAUGGUGGUUCUAUCCUGUAGAACAUUUUCCCUGGAAAUGAAGUUCUCCUCCUAGAUUUUCAUUCAUUUGGAUGUUUCUGUGGGUUUUAGGGAGGAGAGGAGUGUUAACCCCUACGUGGCUGCACCGCCAGUUGGGGGUGUGUUUCUGCCUUCGAUGUGGUGGACAGGCCUUGCUUGAUGGCACAAGCUCAGGGUGGAGGACCGUGGACAGUUGGUGGAGGCCAGGCUGGAGGUGCUGGCAGGAACCAAGACUCUGGCCUGGGGAAAAACAAAAAGAUUUUACAAUACACUUUAGCUGUUUAGAGACAAAAUUAGUUUUAAAAACUAACGAAUGCAUUUUUAGUAUUUCCCCAUCUCUUUAUGGGUUUGAAAUGACUGUGGCCUCAUUCUGCAGAUGGGAGGCAGAUGAAUAGCCUCGGAGGCCACAGGCCUGGGCAGAGGCAUUCAGCAGAUAAAGCCCCAGUGCAGUAACGACUCGCAGUGAUGAUUAAUCAAGGCAGAGAGCCACAGCGUCUGGAUCAGGCUGGGUUGUAGAGUUUUCAUAAAGAAAUUCUCCUGCCAAAAGUGCCAAUACCAAAUAUACCCCCAAACAGAAGCCAAAGUCUAGCAAACACCAUGGUAAGUGUUAUUUUUCUAAAGCAGAAAAGGCUGGAAGACGGCAGAUUGAAUCACCUAAUUUUUUUUAGAAAAAGUUGAUGUGCAGGGAAUUUCCCCAAGAAAAUCUAAGUAAAGGCAGAAUUUCUGGCAUAAAAAGAGCUCUAAACAAAUGCCAGCCUCUCUUCCCUUAUUUAAAACCCUCUUCCCGUUCAGGGCUGAGCGAAGAGGACCGGCUGAUUCUCAGCAUCCAUGAAUAAAGGAGAAAGAUUUGCAGUGAGCUUAUUUGCAUAAAAGCAGUACUUUCUUAGAUGGUGGGUCAGAGUCACUGAGAAAGGUCUGCCCUUUCGAAUGUGUUAACAUUUUCGGCCCAUCAAAAUCCGGCUCUAAGCAAUUUACUUGGUAAGAACUUUUCCUAAAAUUAGAACUUAGAAAUUAGAAUUAGCCUGCAUCCAUCAGAGUCAGCCUAUCUCCUGAAAUAGUCUCUUCUAAACUAAUAGCAGUUUUUGUUUGUUUGUUUGUUUUUUUAACCUUGUUACCCCACUUCUCGGAAUAGAUCAGUAAUUAGCCAUCAGUGACUUGAGCCAGGAGGAGCGGUAAGCAAAAUAGUUCACAGCCUCCCUGUUUUUAUAAGCCCUAAACUGGGAACAACAUAGGUGUCCAACCAGGCCCUCCUCUGGACUGUGCGGUGUCUUGGAAGGAAAGGGAAAAAUGGGCCCUCUGAGUGGUUAGCCUUCAGCUCAUGGCCUGGCAAGCACCCUUUGUCCAAGAAGACACAGCCCCAGCCAGGAUGCAUGGCCUGGUAGGUUCAGGGGAGCUGGAUUCGUCUCUCAAGUGCCUUUCUGCUGGGUGCAGUUGGGCAGUGAACAACCUGUACAACCAUGCCUGGAAACCCUGUCCUAUAGUAGAGGGUUAGAUGCAAGUGUCAGAGUAAGCUGGUAGAAUGGAAUAUUAUACAUCUAUGAAGAAUCAGGUUAUAGGCAAACAUUUAUUGAAAAAGGCAAUGCUGGGAGUUCCCAUCGUGGCUCAAUGGUUAAUGAACCCAACUAGUAUCCAUGAGGAUGUGGGUUUGAUCCUUGGCCUUGCUCAGUGGGUCAAGGAUCUUGCCUUGAGGUGAGCUAUGGUGCAGUUCAUAGAUGCGGCUUGGAUCUGGCGUUGCUGUAGCUGUGGUAUAGGCCAGCAGAUGCAGCUCGGAUUGGACCCCUUGUCUGGGAACUUCCAUAGGCUGUGGGUGUGGCCCUAAAAAAACAAAAAAGAAAAGAAAAAGAAAAAGGCAAUGUUUUUGAGGACACACAGAAAAAGAGCAGCAGGCCACAAAUGGCAGAAAGUCCAGACACGAACACUGACACCUUGAAUAAAGGGCAAAAACUCAAAAUUUAACUCUCCUUGCCUCUAGGUGGUGAGAUGGCAGAUAAAGUUUUCUUAGUGGUUUUAUAUUUUGUUUUAUGUACAGCUUUUAUAACUGAUGAAAUUAUAGCUCAUUCUCCCUGUUCACAGUAGCUGAGUUCUGGAAGGUCAGCACAAACAGGGACUUGGCAGAUAAUGAGCCACUGGGACAAAAGCUCAAUACCCACACAGGGUUGGGUUCCUCUGAGCCUCUGGUCACGACAUUUCAUCAACGGAUCAAUAUGUGACCUUGUUAGAAGUGUGUUUCUCGUUAAAAGUAUCUUAUUUUAUGUUUCUGAUACAUAACUAAUUACACCCAGUAUUUCUUUAUAAGAAAACACUAGCUGCGAGGGUUUAACCUUUUCACUACCCUGGGGAACGUGGUCAUAAAUUUCCUUAGCUUUUAGUCCCAUAGCAACGCUUUUGCCUCUGGAUUGAACAAAAAGUUGGUCAUGAUCUCACGAAUGCACAAAUUUAGCUGCUUUCCAACUUUUCCAUUGUUUUGUCAUGUGCUAUAAAUGUCCCUUUGGCAUUUUCCAGAGCUGUCUCACGUGCAGGUUGGUGGCUUUCCUCUUCCUCUCUUGGGAAUAAGCUGCCCGUUUGCUCAUUAACAUUGAACUUGCGAGUUCCCUUUGUGGUCAGUGGUUAAAGAACCCGACUAGGAACCAUGAGGAUUCAGGUUUGAUCCCUGGCCUCAAACACUGGGUUAAGGAUCCGGCAUUGCCAUGAGCUGUGCUGUAGGUCGCAGAUGCGACUUGGGUCCUGCGUGGCUGUGGCUGUGGCUGUGGUGUAGGCUGGCAGCUGGUAGGCUGGUAGCUCCGAUUUGACCCCUAGCCUCGGAACUCCACAUGCCGCAGGUGUGGCCCUAAAAACCAAACCAAACCAAAACAAAACCAAAAAAAAAAAAA
rnacentral:lncRNA from 1 species